AUUGAACGCUGGCGGAAUGCUUUACACAUGCAAGUCGAACGGCAGCACGGACUUCGGUCUGGUGGCGAGUGGCGAACGGGUGAGUAACAUAUCGGAACGUAUCCAAUAAUGGGGGAUAACGAGUCGAAAGAUUCGCUAAUACCGCAUACGCCCUACGGGGGAAAGCUGGGGACCUUCGGGCCUGGCGUUAAUGGAGCGGCCGAUAUCUGAUUAGCUAGUUGGUGAGGCAAAGGCUCACCAAGGCGACGAUCAGUAGCUGGUCUGAGAGGACGACCAGCCACACUGGAACUGAGACGCGGUCCAGACUCCUACGGGAGGCAGCAGUGGGGAAUUUUGGACAAUGGGCGCAAGCCUGAUCCAGCCAUUCCGCGUGAGUGAAGAAGGCCAUCGGGUUGUAAAGCUCUUUCGCAAGGGAAGAAAACUUAGCCACUAACAUUGGUUGAGGUUGACGGUACCUUGAUAAGAAGCACCGGCUAACUACGUGCCAGCAGCCGCGGUAA
rnacentral:rRNA from 1 species